rnacentral:rRNA from 1 species
UACGGAGGGAGCCAGCGUUGUUCGGAAUUACUGGGCGUAAAGCGCACGUAGGCGGCUUUGUAAGUUAGAGGUGAAAGCCCGGGGCUCAACCCCGGAAUUGCCUUUAAGACUGCAUCGCUUGAAUCCGGGAGAGGUGAGUGGAAUUCCGAGUGUAGAGGUGAAAUUCGUAGAUAUUCGGAAGAACACCAGUGGCGAAGGCGGCUCACUGGCCUGGUAUUGACGCUGAGGUGCGAAAGCGUGGGGAGCAAACAGG